rnacentral:rRNA from 1 species
UACGAAGGAUGCAAGCGUUAUCCGGAUUCAUUGGGUUUAAAGGGUGCGUAGGCGGACUGAUAAGUCAGUGGUGAAAUCUCUUCGCUUAACGAAGAAACUGCCAUUGAUACUGUUAGUCUAGAGUACAGAUGAUGUUGGCGGAAUAUGACAUGUAGCGGUGAAAUGCAUAGAUAUGUCAUAGAACACCGAUUGCGAAGGCAGCUGACAAAACUGUAACUGACGCUGAUGCACGAAAGUGCGGGGAUCAAACAGG